rnacentral:rRNA from 1 species
GUGCUAGCCGCCGCGGUAAUACGGAAGGUCCAAGCGUUAAUCGGAAUUACUGGGCGUAAAGAGCUCGUAGGUGGUUAAAAAAGUUGAUGGUGAAAUCCCAAGGCUUAACCUUGGAACUGCCAUCAAAACUUUUUAGCUAGAGUGUGAUAGAGGUAAGUGGAAUUUCUAGUGUAGAGGUGAAAUUCGUAGAUAUUAGAAAGAAUACCAAUUGCGAAGGCAGCUUUCUGGAUCAUUACUGACACUGAGGAACGAAAGCAUGGGUAGCGAAGAGGAUUAGAUACCCGCGUAGUCCC